rnacentral:rRNA from 1 species
UGAACGCUGGCGGCGUGCCUAAUACAUGCAAGUCGAGCGAACAGACGAGGAGCUUGCUCCUCUGACGUUAGCGGCGGACGGGUGAGUAACAAGUGGAAAACCUACCUAUAAGAAUGGGAUAACUUCGGGAAACCGGAGCUAAUACCGGAUAAUAUAUUGAACCGCAUGGUUCAAUAGUGAAAGACGGUUUUGCUGUCACUUAUAGAUGGAUCCGCGCCGCAUUAGCUAGUUGGUAAGGUAACGGCUUACCAAGGCAACGAUGCGUAGCCGACCUGAGAGGGUGAUCGGCCACACUGGAACUGAGACACGGUCCAGACUCCUACGGGAGGCAGCAGUAGGGAAUCUUCCGCAAUGGGCGAAAGCCUGACGGAGCAACGCCGCGUGAGUGAUGAAGGUCUUCGGAUCGUAAAACUCUGUUAUUAGGGAAGAACAAAUGUGUAAGUAACUAUGCACGUCUUGACGGUACCUAAUCAGAAAGCCACGGCUAACUACGUG